rnacentral:rRNA from 1 species
UUGAACGCUGGCGGCAUGCCUUACACAUGCAAGUCGAACGGUAGAGGGGCAACCCUUGAGAGUGGCGAACGGGUGAGUAAUAUAUCGGAACGUGCCCAGUCGUGGGGGAUAACGCAGCGAAAGCUGCGCUAAUACCGCAUACGAUCUAUGGAUGAAAGCGGGGGAUCGCAAGACCUCGCGCGAUUGGAGCGGCCGAUAUCAGAUUAGGUAGUUGGUGGGUAAAAGCCCACC